UCAAAGAAAGUUUUUUCUUGUUAAUACGAUAAAGUUUUGUUGUGAUAAUGAGAUCUUUGAUUUCUCAUAAUUAUCAGACAAAUAUCUUGUCAUAAGACACAUUAUGAGAAAUGACGUCAUAAUUACAUGAAACCAUCUCAGAUUUCUUUCUCUCUUUGGUGAACACAUGAAAAAAGAAAUGUCACUUUGAAGACACAAAAUGGCCGCCACAUGACCCCAGCUGUUUGAACUAGCCACACUGUAUCACUUCUUUAUCAUUUAUAAUAUAUUCACAUCCCGACCCUCCACUAACGUUAGUGUUAUAGAUACAUCUGAUAAUAAGUUUCCUUUAUGUGAAAACAGCUGCAGAUUGUGACCAAAGACACACGAUCAUCAUGACAUCAUCACUUCCUAAAGUUCUACAUGUCGUCAGUUUGAACCCAAAAACUUUAACUAUCUAACACGUGAGUGAUCAGUCCAAAGAGGUGAAGACAGGUGAGGGUUAAAUAUAGACAGGUGAAGACAGGUGAGGGUUAAAUAUAGACAGGUGAAGACAGGUGAGGGUUAAAUAUAGACAGGUGUAGACAGUUGAGGGUUAAAUAAAGACAGGUGAAGACAGGUGAGGGUUUAAUAUAAACAGGUGAAGACAGGUGAGGGUUAAAUAUAAACAGGUGAAGACAGGUGAGGGUUAAAUAAAGACAGGUGAAGACAGGUGAGGGUUAAAUAUAAACAGGUGAAGACAGGUGAGGGAUAAAUAUAAACAGGUGAAGACAGGUGAGGGUUAAAUAUAAACAGGUGUAGACAGGUGAGGGUUAAAUAUAAACAGGUGUAGACAGGUGAGGGUUAAAUAUAAACAGGUGAGGGUUAAAUAUAAACAGCUGAAGACAGGUGAGGGUUAAAUAUGAACAGGUGAAGACAGGUGAGGGUUAAAAAUAAACAGGUGAAGACAGGUGAGGGUUAAAUAUAAACAGGUGAGGGUUAAAAAUAAACAGGUGUAGACAGGUGAGGGUUAAAAAUAAACAGGUGUAGACAGGUGAGGGUUAAAUAUAAACAGGUGA